AUUGAACGCUGGCGGCAGGCUUAACACAUGCAAGUCGAGCGGGGUGAUGGUGCUUGCACUAUCACUUAGCGGCGGACGGGUGAGUAAUGCUUAGGAAUCUGCCUAUUAGUGGGGGACAACAUCUCGAAAGGGAUGCUAAUACCGCAUACGUCCUACGGGAGAGAGCAGGGGAUCACUUGUGACCUUGCGCUAAUAGAUGAGCCUAAGUCGGAUUAGCUAGUUGGUGGGGUAAAGGCCUACCAAGGCGACGAUCUGUAGCGGGUCUGAGAGGAUGAGCCGCCACACUGGGACUGAGACACGGCCCAGACUCCUACGGGAGGCAGCAGUGGUGAAUAUUGGACAAUGGGGGGAACCCUGAUCCAGCCAUGCCGCGUGUGUGAAGAAGGCCUUAUGGUUGUAAAGCACUUUAAGCGAGGAGGAGGCUCUUUUGGUUAAUACCCAAGAUGAGUGGACGUUACUCGCAGAAUAAGCACCGGCUAACUCUGUGCCAGCAGCCGCGGUAA
rnacentral:rRNA from 1 species